rnacentral:rRNA from 1 species
CCUACGGGUGGCAGCAGUGGGGAAUAUUGGACAAUGGGGGCAACCCUGAUCCAGCAAUGCCGCGUGAGUGAUGAAGGCCUUAGGGUUGUAAAGCUCUUUCGACGGGGACGAUGAUGACGGUACCCGUAGAAGAAGCCCCGGCUAACUUCGUGCCAGCAGCCGCGGUAAGACGAAGGGGGCUAGCGUUGUUCGGAAUUACUGGGCGUAAAGCGCGCGUAGGCGGUUUUUCAAGUCAGAAGUGAAAGCCCCGGGCUCAACCCGGGAACAGCUUUUGAUACUGUGAGACUUGAGUCCGGGAGAGGAUAGUGGAAUUCCCAGUGUAGAGGUGAAAUUCGUAGAUAUUGGGAAGAACACCAGUGGCGAAGGCGGCUAUCUGGACCGGUACUGACGCUGAGGCGCGAAAGCGUGGGGAGCAAACAGGAUUAGAUACCCGUGUAGUC